rnacentral:rRNA from 1 species
UAGAGUUUGAUCCUGGCUCAGGACGAACGCUGGCGGCGUGCCUAAUACAUGCAAGUUGAGCGCUGAAGGUUGGUACUUGUACCGACUGGAUGAGCAGCGAACGGGUGAGUAACGCGUGGGGAAUCUGCCUUUGAGCGGGGGACAACAUUUGGAAACGAAUGCUAAUACCGCAUAAAAACUUUAAACACAAGUUUUAAGUUUGAAAGAUGCAAUUGCAUCACUCAAAGAUGAUCCCGCGUUGUAUUAGCUAGUUGGUGAGGUAAAGGCUCACCAAGGCGAUGAUACAUAGCCGACCUGAGAGGGUGAUCGGCCACAUUGGGACUGAGACACGGCCCAAACUCCUACGGGAGGCAGCAGUAGGGAAUCUUCGGCAAUGGACGAAAGUCUGACCGAGCAACGCCGCGUGAGUGAAGAAGGUUUUCGGAUCGUAAAACUCUGUUGGUAGAGAAGAACGUUGGUGAGAGUGGAAAGCUCAUCAAGUGACGGUAACUACCCAGAAAGGGACGGCUAACUACGUGCCAGCAGCCGCGGUAAUACGUAGGUCCCGAGCGUUGUCCGGAUUUAUUGGGCGUAAAGCGAGCGCAGGUGGUUUAUUAAGUCUGGUGUAAAAGGCAGUGGCUCAACCAUUGUAUGCAUUGGAAACUGGUAGACUUGAGUGCAGGAGAGGAGAGUGGAAUUCCAUGUGUAGCGGUGAAAUGCGUAGAUAUAUGGAGGAACACCGGUGGCGAAAGCGGCUCUCUGGCCUGUAACUGACACUGAGGCUCGAAAGCGUGGGGAGCAAACAGGAUUAGAUACCCUGGUAGUCCACGCCGUAAACGAUGAGCGCUAGAUGUAGGGAGCUAUAAGUUCUCUGUAUCGCAGCUAACGCAAUAAGCACUCCGCCUGGGGAGUACGACCGCAA